rnacentral:rRNA from 1 species
AUUGAACGCUGGCGGAAUGCUUUACACAUGCAAGUCGAACGGCAGCACGGACUUCGGUCUGGUGGAGAGUGGCGAACGGGUGAGUAAUGUAUCGGAACGUGCCCAGUCGUGGGGGAUAACGUAGUGAAAAUUACGCUAAUACCGCAUACGAUCUAUGGAUGAAAGCGGGGGAUCGCAAGGCCUCGCGCGAUUGGAGCGGGCGAUAUCAGAUUAGGUAGUUGGUGGGGUAAAGGCCCACCAAGCCAACGAUCUGUAGCUGGUCAGAGAGGACGACCAGCCACACUGGAACUGAGACACGGUCCAGACUCCUACGGGAGGCAGCAGUGGGGAAUUUUGGACAAUGGGCGAAAGCCUGAUCCAGCCAUUCCGCGUGCAGGAUGAAGGCCCUCGGGUUGUAAACUGCUUUUGUACAGAACGAAAAGGUUUCUACUAAUACUAGGAGCUCAUGACGGUACUGUAAGAAUAAGCACCGGCUAACUACGUGCCAGCAGCCGCCGUAA